UAGGGAAUCUUCCGCAAUGGACGAAAGUCUGACGGAGCAACGCCGCGUGAGUGAAGAAGGAUUUCGGUUCGUAAAACUCUGUUGUUAGGGAAGAAAAAAUGUAUAGUAACUAUAUACAAAAGAGACGGUACCUAACCAGAAAGCCACGGCUAACUACGUGCCAGCAGCCGCGGUAAUACGUAGGUGGCAAGCGUUGUCCGGAAUUAUUGGGCGUAAAGCGCGCGCAGGUGGUUUAGAAAGUCUGAUGUGAAAGCCCACGGCUCAACCGUGGAGGGUCAUUGGAAACUAAUAAACUUGAGUGAAGGAGAGAAAAGUGGAAUUCCUAGUGUAGCGGUGAAAUGCGUAGAGAUUAGGAGGAACACCGGUGGCGAACGCGGCUUUUUGGCCUGCAACUGACACUGAGGCGCGAAAGCGUGGGGAGCAAACAGG
rnacentral:rRNA from 1 species